AUCUUUUAUACUGCGCAUGCGCGAGCUAAACAAGUGUAAUGCAGUGUUGACAAUAGAAAAUUAUAUUGGGAAGUUGUCAUUCCUACAGUAAAAACAGCUUUUUUUCAAGUAGUACGAAAUGUGACUUCGAUUUACCUGUGGAACUAUUUGAACAGAAGGUAAAGCAGUAAUUUUGUUGUAUUUAGAAAGCAAACAGGGUCAUAUUUUUAAAAAUAUAGCGCACUGAAUAUAAAUUUGAGCAUCAUUAAAAUGUGUUCGCUAUGAUGCCAUUUUGUCUCCGGUAUAUACGGAGUUCUGCUUUUAUACUUGUGGAUAUUCGAAUUUAUUUGGCUCAAAAACACCAUUACUUCAAUAUCCCUUUCUUGUUUUUCCUUGGAUAGGUUUUAACAAGAUAGAACUCGAGAUCCCUUGGGUCCAAAGACGCUAGAUUAUAAAAUCCUGAUGUGACUUCAUACUACAAAUAGAAUAUGUCUUAUAUUUAAUACUACAAAUAGAAUGUCUUUUAAGUACAAACUUCAAUGAAUUGAUAAAGUGUAAGGAUAGUGUUUAAAGUCGCUUCAUGUGUAGAAGCUGAAUUACUUUAGUUUAUACACUGUAUAUUGUCAAGAUCACAUGUUGAUAUGACUUACUAGCAACUUACUACAGACUUACUACUUAUUUAUAAUACUUUAGAGUUUGGACAUUAGAACAUUGCAAUUGCCUGACAGAGACUGUUAGGGCCUGUUUGUAUGGAAGCCGGGCUGGCCCGCUUAGCAAGACAGCCCGGUAAGGUAUAGGUAAGCAGGAUGAUUUCUCUUGUGUUUAUUUGAGAAAAUUUCAUUCCGCUUACCGGGACAAUUUUGUUGUUUUCAUUGACAUUAUUUUGACAGUUGUUAAAAAUAGCUUGCGGCAGUAUCUUUGAACUUUCAUCCCGGCAACCGGGCUAGCCUGCUUAUGAUUGUUUAUGUGGAGAAAUUUCCAUCCUGGUCUUGGCAACCGGGCCUGCCUGCUUGUCCAUAGAAAUGAUAAUUUGUACUAUAAAAAUAACUAGACAGCGAGAUCUCACUUACCGGGCUGUCUCACUUAGCGGGCCAGCCAGGUUCGAUAUAAACAGGCCCUUACACAACUGCUAAAAGCUGCAAGUUUCUUUAAAGCAAUAUCAUCUAUAUCACAGAAUACAGUUUCUGUAGUGACUCUCAUUGUAACUCAGUAGUCUCAGUUAUUCCUUCUCAAGAAAAAUAAAAAAACAAAGCUGUGUGGGUGUGUUUUUGCUCUAGCUAGUUUUUACAUUUACAUGGUUCAUGUACAAUUAAUGUACAUUUAGAUUAGCUUUGUUCAAUGAAUACAGGUGUGAUUCAAAUAUCAUAAUCCUGUCAGGUAGUUGGGUCAAAUAGACAUAAGCAUACCAAAUCAUGCUGUGAAUUGAAAAUACAAGUAUAGG